AUGCAAUGAUGAGUUAUUUGUGCUACUUGUGAUGUUGGUUCAUCACAGCAUUUCGAUAAUUCGAAUUAGAAGCGCAUCUGAGCAU